rnacentral:piRNA from 1 species
UGUCUUCAUGUCGUGUCUAGGGCGGA